rnacentral:rRNA from 1 species
UACGUAGGGACCAAGCGUUGUUCGGAUUUACUGGGCGUAAAGCGUGCGCAGGCGGUCUCGUCAGCUGGGUGUGAAAGCCCCGGGCUUAACCUGGGAAUGGCAUUCAGGACUGCGAGGCUCGAGUGUGGCAGAGGGAGGUGGAAUUCCACGUGUAGCAGUGAAAUGCGUAGAGAUGUGGAGGAACACCGAUGGCGAAGGCAGCCUCCUGGGCCAGCACUGACGCUCAUGCACGAAAGCGUGGGGAGCAAACGGG